UGGGGAUUAGCCAAGCGGUAAGGCAACGGACUUUGACUCCGUCAUGCGUAGGUUCGAAUCCUACAUCCCCAGCCA
rnacentral:tRNA from 1 species